rnacentral:rRNA from 1 species
AUAACCCUUUGUGAACAUACCUACAACUGUUGCUUCGGCGGGUAGGCCGUCCCCUGAAAAGGACGCCUCCCGGCCCGGACCGGACCCCCCGCGGGACCGGACCCGGCGCCCGCCGGAGGAUAACCAAACUCUAUUGUAACGACGUUUCUUCUGAGUGGCAUAAGCAAAAUAAUCAAAACUUUUAACAACGGAUCUCUUGGUUCUGGCAUCGAUGAAGAACGCAGCGAAAUGCGAUAAGUAAUGUGAAUUGCAGAAUUCAGUGAAUCAUCGAAUCUUUGAACGCACAUUGCGCCCGCCAGCAUUCUGGCGGGCAUGCCUGUUCGAGCGUCAUUUCAACCCUCAAGCUCUGCUUGGUGUUGGGGCUCUACGGUCGACGUAGGCCCUCAAAGGUAGUGGCGGACCCUCCCGGAGCCUCCUUUGCGUAGUAACAUUUCGUCUCGCACUGGGAUCCGGAGGGACUCUUGCCGUAAAACCCCCCAAUUUUCCAAAGGUUGACCUCG